rnacentral:rRNA from 1 species
CUUACCAACCCGAUGCAAACUACGAAUACCGAAGAAUGUUAUCACGGGAGACACACGGCGGGUGCUAACGUCCGUCGUGAAGAGGGAAACAACCCAGACCGCCAGCUAAGGUCCCAAAGUCAUGGUUAAGUGGGAAACGAUGUGGGAAGGCACAGACAGCCAGGAUGUUGGCUUAGAAGCAGCCAUCAUUUAAAGAAAGCGUAAUAGCUCACUGGUCGAGUCGGCCUGCGCGGAAGAUGUAACGGGGCUAAACCAUGCACCGAAGCUGCGGCAGCGACGCUUAUGUGUUGUUGGGUAGGGGAGCGUUCUGUAAGCCGUUGAAGGUGGCCUGUGAGGGUUGCUGGAGGUAUCAGAAGUGCGAAUGCUGACAUAAGUAACGAUAAAGCGGGUGAAAAGCCCGCUCGCCGGAAGACCAAGGGUUCCUGUCCAACGUUAAUCGGGGCAGGGUGAGUCGACCCCUAAGGCGAGGCCGAAAGGCGUAGUCGAUGGGAAACAGGUUAAUAUUCCUGUACUUGGUGUUACUGCGAAGGGGGGACGGAGAAGGCUAUGUUAGCCGGGCGACGGUUGUCCCGGUUUAAGCAUGUAGGCGGAGGUUCCAGGUAAAUCCGGUACCUUAUUAACGCUGAGGUGUGAUGACGAGGCACUACGGUGCUGAAGUAACAAAUGCCCUGCUUCCAGGAAAAGCCUCUAAGCAUCAGGUAACACGAAAUCGUACCCCAAACCGACACAGGUGGUCAGGUAGAGAAUACCAAGGCGCUUGAGAGAACUCGGGUGAAGGAACUAGGCAAAAUGGUGCCGUAACUUCGGGAGAAGGCACGCUGAUAUGUAGGUGAAGCCCCUGCGGGUGGAGCUGAAAUCAGUCGAAGAUACCAGCUGGCUGCAACUGUUUAUUAAAAACACAGCACUGUGCAAACACGAAAGUGGACGUAUACGGUGUGACGCCUGCCCGGUGCCGGAAGGUUAAUUGAUGGGGUUAGCGGCAACGCGAAGCUCUUGAUCGAAGCCCCGGUAAACGGCGGCCGUAACUAUAACGGUCCUAAGGUAGCGAAAUUCCUUGUCGGGUAAGUUCCGACCUGCACGAAUGGCGUAAUGAUGGCCAGGCUGUCUCCACCCGAGACUCAGUGAAAUUGAACUCGCUGUGAAGAUGCAGUGUACCCGCGGCAAGACGGAAAGACCCCGUGAACCUUUACUAUAGCUUGACACUGAACACUGGUCCUUGAUGUGUAGGAUAGGUGGGAGGCUUUGAAGCGUGGACGCCAGUCUGCGUGGAGCCGACCUUGAAAUACCACCCUUUAAUGGCUGGUGUUCUAACGUAGACCCGUAAUCCGGGUUGCGGACAGUGUCUGGUGGGUAGUUUGACUGGGGCGGUCUCCUCCCAAAGAGUAACGGAGGAGCACGAAGGUUAGCUAAUCCUGGUCGGACAUCAGGAGGUUAGUGCAAUGGCAUAAGCUAGCUUGACUGCGAGAGUGACGGCUCGAGCAGGUGCGAAAGCAGGUCAUAGUGAUCCGGUGGUUCUGAAUGGAAGGGCCAUCGCUCAACGGAUAAAAGGUACUCCGGGGAUAACAGGCUGAUACCGCCCAAGAGUUCAUAUCGACGGCGGUGUUUGGCACCUCGAUGUCGGCUCAUCACAUCCUGGGGCUGAAGUAGGUCCCAAGGGUAUGGCUGUUCGCCAUUUAAAGUGGUACGCGAGCUGGGUUUAGAACGUCGUGAGACAGUUCGGUCCCUAUCUGCCGUGGGCGCUGGAGAAUUGAGGGGGGCUGCUCCUAGUACGAGAGGACCGGAGUGGACGCAUCACUGGUGUUCGGGUUGUCAUGCCAAUGGCACUGCCCGGUAGCUAAAUGCGGAAGAGAUAAGUGCUGAAAGCAUCUAAGCACGAAACUUGCCCCGAGAUGAGUUCUCCCUGAGACUAUAAGUCUCCUGAAGGAACGUUGAAGACGACGACGUUGAUAGGUCGGGUGUGUAAGCGCAGCGAUGCGUUGAGCUAACCGAUACUAAUGAACCGUGAGGCUUAACCUU